AGCCCUACUAUGAUCAGUCCGGUCAGGAUCUCUGAGCUCUUCGUGGUCCUGAGUCAGUCAGCUGCCGGGUCACAGUCACAGCAGACUGAGA